GUGUUAAUGUUUAAUUUAGAUUGCUGCCCCAUUGAUUCCACUGCGGCUCAAGCAAACGAGAGUUAGCCAGAUUCAUGGUUUUACCACAGCACGGUCCAGUCGUUCUGAGUGUACAAGAAUGACCGCAUCAGGGAUGUGCGCCUAAUUAAGCACUUAGUCGAUAACCUGCUCCCUCUGGGCUGAGGCAUUUGCCUCAUCCACUGAAGGAACGAGAUCAAGCUGGGCAGUGAGCGUGGGUAAUCCAUGCAAGAAGAACUCCUUUAAGUGACCCAUAGAACCGGACUUGCAGACUGCGGGUGAGGACGCGGGUGAGGACGUUCUUUAGAGAAAUCUCGGUCUGCAGCUGAGAAGACACAUUGAAAUCGCAGCCUUGUAGUGCAGAUCCUGGCUUUAAAUCACAUUGCACCCCCUACUGGAACACGCAGUGCUGUAAACCUCAGAUGUCAGAAGCAUUUCUGAAAAUCUAGAAUUAUAUUUCGUUAUCGGCGGGAGAGCAGACCUUUUGACUCGUGGAAAAUGCCCAACACUGAGUUACUUGAGGGACUGCUCUGUAAAACAAAGUCUCUUUAGAAGCCAAACUUAAUCAUGCAGUUAAAUUAGCACACUGUAUGACUGUUUAUAAAAAUAAAAUGAUUAAGCCCGAAUACGCCAACCAAAGUGAUAAAAAUGUAAAUGAGGAGGAACACGGGAAUCAAUACACAUUAUCAGUUGCUAAAUCACUAUUUAAAAACGGGAUUCAAGCAGACAACUGGAAAAUGACAGGAAGCAUAAGCACGCGGGGUAAUAAACAGAACAGAACCCGACAUUAAUUAAAGAACUCACCCAGUGAAA